rnacentral:rRNA from 1 species
AGCGAACGCUGGCGGCAGGCUUAACACAUGCGAGUCGAGCGGGCACUUUCGGGUGUCCGCGGCGGACGGGUGAGUAACGCGUGGGAACGUGCCCUCUGGUUCGGAAUAACUCAGGGAAACUUGAGCUAAUACCGGAUACGCCCUCUUGGGGAAAGGCUUGCUGCCGGAGGAUCGGCCCGCGUCUGAUUAGCUAGUUGGUGAGGUAACGGCUCACCAAGGCGACGAUCAGUAGCUGGUCUGAGAGGAUGAUCAGCCACACUGGGACUGAGACACGGCCCAGACUCCUACGGGAGGCAGCAGUGGGGAAUAUUGGACAAUGGGCGCAAGCCUGAUCCAGCCAUGCCGCGUGAGUGAUGAAGGCCUUAGGGUGGUAAAGCUCUUUUAGCCGGGACGAUAAGGACGGUACCGGAGGAAUAAGCCCGGGCUAACUUCGG